GACGUAGGGCGCGAGCGUUGUCCGGAUUUAUUGGGCGUAAAGAGCUCGUAGGCGGCUUGUCGCGUCGACUGUGAAAACCCGCGGCUCAACCGCGGGCCUGCAGCCGAUACGGGCAGGCUAGAGUUCGGUAGGGGAGACUGGAAUUCCUGGUGUAGCGGUGAAAUGCGCAGAUAUCAGGAGGAACACCGGUGGCGAAGGCGGCUUCCUGGACCGACACUGACGCUGAGGCGCGAAAGCUAGGGGAGCAAACGGG
rnacentral:rRNA from 1 species